rnacentral:lncRNA from 1 species
UUGCAAAAUGGCGAGGGGGGAGGUGACACCAAGCUCGAUCAGAAACUAUGCCACUGGUGAAGAGGUAUAUUGAGCCCUGCGUGGCCCAGUGAGGUUACUAGAGAAUUGGAAGAGUCUCAAAUCAGCAUCCUGCACAUGGUUAUCAAACCAUUGUGAAGUCUUAGUAAGUGGUCAGUGGCUCUGGUGGGCUUGCCCAGUUAGUGUCUUAACAGGCACUAGGCAGUUACUUGAUAUUUUCCCAUUAUGAUAUGAAAAGUUUUUUGUUUUUUGUUUUUUUAGGGCUGUACCCGUGGCAUAUGGAGGUUCCCAGGCUAGGGUUCAAAUUGGAGCUGUAGCUAUAUGCAGGCCUACACCACCCACAGCUAUAGCAACUUGGGAUCCGAGCUGCGUCUGCAACCUACGCCACAGCUCACGAGAGUGCUGGAUCCUUAACCCACUGAGUGAGGCCAGGGAUUGAACCUGUGUCCUCAUGGAUACUAGUUGUGUUCUUAACCCACUGAGCCACAAUGGGAACUCCAAAAAACAGUCUUUAUUUCAGACUAGAGAGUGAUGAGCCUAAUCUCUCUCUUUCCCCGUCUCCCAUUUUUGCAGAUGAUAUCUUGCCCACCAUAAUAGUUGGUGUAGAAAAUGGAUUUGAAUCCAAGCCCAAUAUUGUUUCUUCCACCUAGUGCUUCCUCUAGAUUCCACCUAAGUCCAAGGAGGCGAUGUGAGACAGAAACAUUUUUAUUCCACAUGGAAAGAUUAUAAUAGCCUCUGACAUUGUGCUCCUCUGAUGAAGGAAAUGUCCAUGGUAUAAAUUUUUAUUGUGCAUAAAAUCACCUGGGAAGCUUGUUAAAAAUGCAGAUUCCUAGGCAGCUAGAAGCCUUGUCAUUGGUCCAGAGCAACAUGAAGACCUACUUGUCACUUACACUGAGGCUUCCUGCCCAGUGGGUUCACCAGCAAGCCAGAAGGAAGCAUCACUGCCAUGGAUGUCCUUGUGAGGCAGUUGUGAAGCCUUGGAGAGCUUUAGAAACAACUUGUCAAGUUUUCACCACAAAUACCAUUGGAGUUACAAUUGGAGUCUCACUGAAUUAUAGAGUAAUUUUUGGAGAGCUAUCAUCUUUAUAAUCUUCUCAUACAUGAAUGUGCUUCUCUGCUGCCUUUUGAGCUGCCAGGCACUGUGCUGGGUGAUGGGGAUAUGGAGAUGAAUUAGACACAGUUUCUGCCCUCAAGGAGUUCUCAGUCUAGUGAGAGAGUUCGACUUGUACACAGAUAAUUACAGUAUGGUAUGCUCUACAAUGGAGGUAUGUACAAGAUACUCUGGGGUUCAGAAGAGAAAUCAUUUGACUGAAUCUGGAGAUGCAGAGGUUGGAGGAACUGAUGCUUAAGUUGAUUAUUUUAAAAAGUAAAGGUCAAAUAGGCAGAAAACAGAGGAAGUACCUUCUAAGCAAAGAUAUGAACAUUAGAAAUGGAAUGAUAAAUUGAGGGACUACAAGUAGUUUAUGACAUUAGGUUGGAAAUGUGGGCUGAGAAUAAAUCCUUAUAUAGUAUGCUGUGAAAUUUGGAUUUCAUUUUGAGUGUUUUAAAAAGGGGAUGCUUUUGAUGGUCACUCUGACAGUAGUAUGGAGUAAGUUAUGGAAAAUUUUCAAAUUUGGAUAGGGAGAUCAGUUAGAUGAUAAAUGAUCAUCUUAGCCAGAAUAAGUGGGAAUGAAGAAGGAAUAACCUUUUAAAUAAGGGGUUAUACAAAACAUGGAUAUAGAAGUUCCCGUUGUGGCGUCAGCAGUAAUGAUCCUGACUAGUAUCCAUGAUAAUGUGGGUUCGAUCCUUGGUCUUGGUCAGCAGGUUAAGGAUCGGGCGUUGCUGUGAGCUGUGGUGUAGGUGGCAGAUGCAGCUUGGAUCCCAAGUUGCUGUGACUGUGCGGAGGCUGGCAGCUGCAGCUCCGAUUCAACCCCUAGCCUGGGAACUUCCAUAUGCCGCAGGUGCGGCCCUAAAAAGAAAAAAAA